CCCUAUGGGGUGCGGCGGAUGAAAGGUAGGCCUCGUAAGGCGCCUGGCAGUAGCCCCGGUCCCCGGCAGCCCUGUCGGCCAUGCACUGCCUCGGGCAAAGCAUGCAGGGCGCGGCUCUCGUAAGAAGCUCUUCAAGCCGGUCCGCGAUGGCGUCCUCUUCGUAUAAUUUCAGAUAUGAGGGAAAAUCGAUCAUGAACUCUUUAAAAUUAUCAUAUAAUGGUUUAGUAUUAUAGCAUAAAGCGUCUUUAGCGGGGGUACGGGAUGAAUUUUGAAUACACUAUCAGGACCUAUUCGAUGGACCAGCUCAGGGAUGCGGGUGUCGACAUCGACGAAGAGAACAACAUCGUCUACGCAUGCAGGUCUGACGGUGAAUGCGAGAUCCAUGCUGUCGGCAUCGAGCAACUCAACAAUCUUUCGGGGAUGCUCAACGAAAUGGGAAGCGAAAGCUGGGAGC
rnacentral:rRNA from 1 species